rnacentral:rRNA from 1 species
CGCCUACACGCCCCUAUCAAACUCCGAAUACUCAUGAAUGUAUCCCGGGAGUGAGUCCGCGAGGGAUAAUCUUCGCGGUCAAAAGGGAAACAACCCUGAUCGCCUGCUAAGGUCCCAAAACACAGCUUAGUUCGUUAGGAAGUUAUUGUUCUGAGACAGCCAGGAUGUUGGCUUAGAAGCAGCCACCAUUUAAAAAGUGCGUAAUAGCUUACUGGUCGAGCAGAGUGGCGCCGUAAAUGAUCGGGAAUAAGCUGAAUACCGAAGCAGUGGAUGAAUGGCUUUGCGGCCAUUCGUGGUAGGAGAGCGCCGCAUGCCGCGUCGAAGCCAUACCGUGAGGAGUGGUGGAGCGCAUGCGGGUGAGAAUGCCGGCAUAAGUAACGAUAACGCAGGUGAAAAUCCUGCGCGCCGAAAGCCUAAGGUUUCCUGGGGAAGGUAAAUCCGCCCAGGGUUAGCCGGGCACUAAGUCGAGGCUGAAAAGCGUAGACGAUGUCCAACGGGUUAAUAUUCCCGUGCUGGUCACAAAGGUUGAAGCCAUUCGUGUGGUCACUCCAGGCAGAUCUCCCCGUUAGUCGUGGGAGUUGCUGUACGCGUCAAGCGUAUGGCUCGAGGGCAUUUUGUUCCCGAAGUCUGUGGCGAGUGAUUCGAGAAAAGCGGAUGGUGGACAAUGUGGUCACCCGUACUAAAACUGACACAGGUAGGCGAGGAGAGUAUCCUCAGGCGCUCGAGAGAACUGCGGUUAAGGAACUAGGCAAUCUAACCACGUAACUUCGGGAGAAGUGGUCCCUCCUUCGCAAGAAGAGGGUGCAAAAAUCAGACUGGGCGACUGUUUAUCAAAAACACAGUUCCGUGCCAACUCGCAAGAGGACGUAUACGGAAUGACGCCUGCUCGGUGCCGGAAGGUUAAGGAAGUCGGUCAGGAGUUCGCUCCGAAGCUGGCGACCGAAGCCCCGGUAAACGGCGGCUGUAACUAUAACAGUCCUAAGGUAGCGAAAUUCCUUG